GCUGGGCGUGGUGACUCACGCCUGUAGUCCCAGCUACUUAGGAGGCUGAGGCAGGAGAAUCGCUUGAACCCAGGAGGCGGAGGCUGCAAUGAGCCAAGAUCAUGCCACUGCACUCCAGCCUGGGCAACAGAGUGAGAACCUGUCUCGA
rnacentral:sRNA from 1 species